rnacentral:rRNA from 1 species
UACGUAGGACGCAAGCGUUGUCCGGAUUCAUUGGGCGUAAAGGGUGCGUAGGCGGCGCGGUAAGUCGGGUGUGAAAUCUCGGAGCUUAACUCCGAAACUGCAUUCGAUACUGCCGUGCUUGAGGACUGGAGAGGAGACUGGAAUUUACGGUGUAGCGGUGAAAUGCGUAGAUAUCGUGAGGAAGACCAGUGGCGAAGGCGGGUCUCUGGACAGUUCCUGACGCUGAGGCACGAAGGUCAGGGGAGCAAACGGG